UGAGGAAUAUUGGUCAAUGGACGAGAGUCUGAACCAGCCAAGUAGCGUGCAGGAUGACGGUCCUAUGGGUUGUAAACUGCUUUUGUUUGGGAAUAAUCGACAUUACGUGUAAUGUUUUGCAUGUACCAUUCGAAUAAGGACCGGCUAAUUCCGUGCCAGCAGCCGCGGUAAUACGGAAGGUCCAGGCGUUAUCCGGAUUUAUUGGGUUUAAAGGGAGUGUAGGCGGUUGGUUAAGCGUGUUGUGAAAUGUAGAUGCUCAACAUCUGACUUGCAGCGCGAACUGGCUGAGUUGAGUACACACAACGUAGGCGGAAUUCAUGGUGUGGCGGUGGAAUGCUUAGAUAUAAUGAAGAGCUCCGAUUGCGAAGGCAGCUUACGGGGGUGUUACUGAGGCAUAAGCUCGAAGGUGCGGGUAUCGAACAGG
rnacentral:rRNA from 1 species